rnacentral:rRNA from 1 species
UACGGAGGGUGCAAGCGUUAUCCGGAUUCACUGGGUUUAAAGGGUGCGUAGGUGGGCUGGUAAGUCAGUGGUGAAAUCUCCAAGCUUAACUUGGAAACUGCCGUUGAUACUAUCUGUCUUGAAUACCGUGGAGGUGAGCGGAAUAUGUCAUGUAGCGGUGAAAUGCUUAGAUAUGACAUAGAACACCAAUUGCGAAGGCAGCUCGCUACACGAAUAUUGACUCUGAGGCACGAAAGCGUGGGGAGCAAAACGG